UCAGACCAGGAGUCCGGCCGGCCUCCUCCCUCAGAACGGGGGUCACACUCAGCCGCCUCCCUCAGACAGACACCCACACAUUGGGCCUCUCCUCCCACAGACCCGGGGGUCCACGUCCAGCCUCCUCCUGCAGAUCCCGGGCUCAUGAGUGAAAUGAGGACGAAAAGCUAUGAGAGAGGGAUGAUCGGAACCCGCAUUUCUCCAGUGGGGAAACUGAGGCACGGGAAGGCCAAGAAACGUGCUCAAGGUCACCUGUCGGGGGAGCUGGGACGCAAGCCCAGACCGUUGCUUGCCAUCCUAAAGGAUGGGGCUUCGGCACAACGUGUUGAAAACGGAAGGAAAUCAUUUUAGUCAUAAGAAUAAAAGCAUCAAUGCCGGGCAUGAUGACACGUUUGUAAUCCCAGCACCUGGAAGGCCGAGGCAGGAGGAUUUCUGCGAGUUCGAGGACAGCCUGGGCUACAGAGUGAGACCUCAAAAAACUUAAAAAAAAAAAAAAAAGCCUCCAAGUACAUCGCAGGUACUCUGAUAUGCGCCCUCCCACCCCUUUGUCUCUGCCAGUCACGACCCUCCUUGUGACCAGCAGUUUUCACUGGGGGAACGGACAUUGUCAUCCUAUGGGCGGGGGCCUGCAGGCCCAUGACUCAGGUAUUAAACUGCCCAAGGGCCCAAAGACAGCCUCAGUUUCCCUUCUUGUGGAACAGGCCAGGUAACGUCAGCGGGGACCCCAACCCGGCCUCGCACGCAGUGGCCACUCAAGGUGGGGGGCGCGGGGCCACCCAGUCCCCCCGCCCGCCGCCGUUCCGCUGUGCGCCCAAGGUGAGUGUCCGCGUCACCGUCCCUCUCCCGUGGCUCGCGCCAGGCCCCGGGGCCCUGAUCGCCGCCCCCAGGCUCCGGCCUCCCCGGGGCCAGUCUGGCACCGCGGCCCCCGGCGGGCUGCCGGCC